AAGAACAAACAUACGACGCCAAAGUAUGUUUAUCGUCGCGUUAAUUACAAUCCCCGAGCGACUAAAAUAUUUCGUCGGUAACAUGAAAUAUUUUAUCGGGCUGUCGUCGGGGAGGCAUCGCGUUAAUUAACACGCUUUUCUUCGUUCCGGAGUGUCAGUGCCAGAAGCACGCCAGAAGAAGGACGUUGAAUUGGGAAGCCGAAUUGGGAACGAUCGACGUAGGAUGCUAAUAAUUGAGCAUGUGCACGUGACACAGUCGAUUGUUGCGUAAAGAGUGGAGGAGAGGAGGGAUAGAUAUAGGCAGCUGGGAGAAUGGAUUAAAUGUACAUUCGAAAUUUCGAUUAAACGGGAUUUCGAUACACAUAGGAAACAUGUCCCGGAGGGAAAUUUACUGAGUGUAGUAGCCGGAUGACGAUGUCUGGCGUGUGGAGCAGUUUUCGCAUUUCGACCAAUGCGGGGUGUCGUUGGCCGGUCGCGUCGAGCCGAGAAGCAGGGCAGGUCGAGCAGUGUAACCUAUAUUCCACGCUAGACUGAGAAUCGGUCCCGGCGCCUGCGACAGACAGCGGUGAGAAGGAGCGGAAGGAAGGGGAGCGACACGGAGAUGAGGCACUGGAGGAGGAUCGAGAAGAAAUGUAGAAAGCCUGAAAAAAACCAAAGAAUAUCAAUAUGCGGGCGAAGUAAAACAGAAUCGAAAUGAGACAGUGAAACGUCGCUUUGACGGUACGCCGAUCAAAGCGCGAGACGGUAGACGCGAAAAUCUUUUUGUACGGAAUUCAUCUUCGUCGAACGUUCCGCUGGAUUAUCGCCGCAGUCUGCCGGAACCAUCGCUCGGAAAAAUGCCGGACCCUUUGAAACGCGAAUUAAGAACCCGAAGAGGCGACGGAUAGUUAACGUUAGCCGAAUCUAACGAGUGCACACACAUUAUAUCUCUUUUUAGCUUCUUCUAAGUUAUUUUUUGCUUAUCCUAUCUCUUUUUCUUUUUUUUUUAAUAUUUAAUUACUGCGGCCACACGUCGAACGGCUAACGACGUCGCGAGAAGCGUCUUUCUAUCUCGCUAUUAUCCUCUUGGCUCGCUUUGUGUCGGCGCGGUAGCGCCAAGAGAAUCACAAACUUAAUACUCUCUCUUUGAAGUUGAAAUUCUUCCAUUUGUCAGACGCCAAUCCGUACGAUUUCACGUACGUGGCUUUGUAAACAUUUUCCUUCUUGAAGCCGAGACGCUCUUUUGUUAACGGACUUUGUCUUUCGCUUUGUCUAAUGCACUGUCUAAUUACAGAUGGGGGGCAAAGGGGCAGAGGAGAGAUGCAGUAGAAAGUUUAUAAAGAAUUUUAUAUAACAUAGAGACGAUUGAUAUAAGUAGAAGAAAAGAUCUGACGUAAAUCAACGCCGAAGUAGCUUUGCGAUUCCCCCAGAGUUUCUGUUUUCUUGUUGUUUCUUGUUACUUCUUUGUUCCAACUUUGUGGUUUUCUGAGAUUUAGUCUUGUAUCGCGUGCGAAUUAUGCAAAUGUGAGUCAGAAAAAAUAACAGCCGACUUAUCGAGAUCUUUUGUAACCCAUUAGUAAUUCAAUCUAUCGAUAUAUUAUGAUUUGAUGAAUUCAACAAUAGUUGCUAUUUUACAUAGUAUGAUAAACCGCUUUAUUGCACGGGAGAUUAACAUUUCAGCUCGUGGUGCUAUCUAUUAUACAACGUGUGAAUCCGGCAGUGCAUGCCUGCGUUUACUGUUAGCGCUACUGCAUCUAUUGGAUAAUUAUUUAUGUCUCUAGGGACACGACGCCCAUUCUAUUCUAAGUUCGACCACUGUGAUGUACCUUCAGUUCUGCGGAUGCCUUACCGUACAAUAGAUCUAUAGUUACUACAAAUUUUCGACCAGCCACAUUAGUGUGUAGCUACGCGUUUCCCCUCGCUGUUAAUUAACCCAGGAAACGCGUUUCCGCAUUCUGGAUUAAUUAACAGUGAUGAGAAGCGCGUAACUAAAAAUAUGACCGAUAAAAAAUUGUAGAUCGAAAACUGUAAUUAUAAAUCAUGAAGCAAUCGCGGACUGAGUGUACACAUCUUGUUAACAGACGCUACAGUAGUACUCCGAGAUGUUACAUUGCGAAUAUUUCCAACGUCGUUUUUUCUUUUUCUUUGAUCAUCGCAUUUCUAAUUUUCCGCUAAUAAAUCCGAGAAUCGUUCGAUUUUAUGAGCAGUAGUAAUAGUCGUUAUUUGAAACUUGUGUCAGAUGAAAUAUUUAUAUAUGAAUUUAGUGUUAGAUGUAAAUCUUUCAGUUAAAUCGCGAUUGUAAAUAUAAUGUCGCAUGUAUUGUGAUUCAAGUAAAAAAUUCAAAUUGCUCGAUUUUAUGAGCAGUAGUAAUAGUUCUUACUUGAAACUUGU